UCUUAUAUAUUCUUAGUAAAAAUGAAACACGUACGCCCUCAACCGACCGUCACUAACGCAAGUGGCAAAGGGCUUGGUGGUUGGUACUCGAGACCCAAGUUCGAAUCCUAAUUGAUUCACAUUUCCAGCUAAAUUUAUUUCUAAAUGAAAUAAACGAAGUGGGUAGCAAGCUAAAUUUAUUUCUAAAUGAAAUAAACGAAGCGGC
rnacentral:lncRNA from 1 species